rnacentral:rRNA from 1 species
CCGCCGCGGUAAGACGUAGGACGCGAGCGUUAUCCGGAUUUACUGGGCGUAAAGCGCCUGCAGGCGGUCAGGUAAGUCGGUUGUGAAAGCCCCGUGCUCAACGCGGGGAGGCCAAGCGAUACUGCGUGACUUGAGGGCGGAAGAGGGGAGUGGAAUUCCCGGUGUAGCGGUAAAAUGCGCAGAUAUCGGGAGGAACACCAGUGGCGAAGGCGGCUCCCUGGACCGCACCUGACGCUCAGAGGCGAAAGCUAGGGGAGCGAACAGGAUUAGAGACCCUGGUAGUCCUAGCCCUAAACGCUGGAUGCUAGGUGUAGGGCUGAUGAGGCUCUGUGCCGGAGCGAACGCGAUAAGCAUCCCGCCUGGGAACUACGGCCGCAAGGCUAAAACUCAAACGAAUUGACGGGGACCCGCACAAGCAGCGGAGCGUGUGGUUUAAUUCGAUGCUACACGAAGAACCUUACCUGGGUUUGACAUGUUGGUGGUACCGAACCGAAAGGGGAGGGACCCUUCGGGGAGCCAACACAGGUGCUGCAUGGCUGUCGUCAGCUCGUGCCGUGAGGUGUCGGGUUAAGUCCCGUAACGAGCGCAACACUUGCUCUUAGUUAUACGUGUCUAUUUUGACUUCUGGCGUCAAGCCGGAGGCAGGCGGGAGUGACCACAAGUCAGCAUGUCCAGGUUUUCAGGCCUGCACCCACGCUACAAUGCCCGGUACAAGCGACAGCCAAACCGCGAGGUGGAGCGAAUCACAGCAAAGCCGCUCCCAGUUCGGCCCGCUGCCAACCCCCCGCCAUGAAGUGGAGUUGCUAGUAACCGCGCGUCAGCCAUAGUGCGGUGAAUACGUACCCGGGUC